GAUGAACGCUAGCGAUAGGCUUAACACAUGCAAGUCGAGGGGCAGCAUUAUUUUAGCUUGCUAAGAUAGAUGGCGACCGGCGCACGGGUGCGUAACGCGUAUGCAACCUGCCUGUAAUUAGGGAAUAAGCCCGGUGAAAGUCGGACUAAUACCCUAUAUUCUUCUUUCUCCGCAUGGGGAAGGACGGAAAGAUUUAUUGAUUACAGAUGGGCAUGCGUCCCAUUAGCUUGUUGGUAAGGUAACGGCUUACCAAGGCAACGAUGGGUAGGGGGACUGAGAGGUUGACCCCCCACACUGGUACUGAGACACGGACCAGACUCCUACGGGAGGCAGCAGUGAGGAAUAUUGGUCAAUGGGCGAGAGCCUGAACCAGCCAAGUCGCGUGAAGGACGACGGUUCUAUGGAUUUUAAACUUCUUUU
rnacentral:rRNA from 1 species